GUUUUCUUGAAGAAUUAUUGAUGAAUAAUUUUCCACAAAAAAUUGGAUUUUAACUAGGAUAGGAAAAUGAGAACCUGCGGCUAUCCAUUUAAACCGAUUGUAGAAUUUAUGGAAAGAUAUGGCGAUCUGAGUAAGCCCACUGAAGGGCCCCAAGAAAGAGCCAACAAUAGUUAACGGUGGGUGGAACUAACGGACACGCGAACGUGAAAUGCUGAUGCCACCGGCGACACGAAAACUACUGAGAAAUUGAGAAAAGUGUGGAGUGACUUUAAACAGCAAGAAGAAGGCACCUC